CUUACUUUGCAAUUUUUGAGAUUAUAUUAUGAAAGAAUAAUAUAACCUCGCUUCGCGCGUUUAAUUAUAUUCGGUUGGAUUAAAUGAAACGAGAAAAUAAAAAUAUUUAUAUACAGUAUUUGUUGUACAGGAGGAAUGGUCAGCAUUCUCUAAGACAUGAUUGUACACAUCAUUUAAAUCGUCAUUUCAAUAUAUUAAGAGCUCCAUAAUUGCCUACAAAUUGAUUGACAACAGCAUGGAUUGCCAACAGACUGUUUGCCAACAAAUCGUUUGCGUACAAGGCAUAUUGUCUACAAAUCUAUUGCCUACAAGCUCUUUUGUGCACAAGUAAUAAAAUUUAGGCACAAAUGUACAUUUGCACCACGAUACUAUUAAGUGUACUAUUAAGUAUAAAAUGAAGUAUAUACAAUCUCAUAUUCUAGAAUGCUGAUCAUUUUUCCUAAAAUAUAUAUACUCUGCAUAAUAUAUACAUAUACUGUGCUUGUGAAAAUACAUAGACCAUAAAUUGUUAUAGAAGUAACUUUAUUUUUGCAGGAAGAAGAGUAUAUUCCUAUCGUCCAAAACUAACAUAGUCUGAUGAUAUUUCCGUGUUUUGCACAUCUUGUUAUUAAACAUUUAACUAAUAUGUCAGUUUUUCCAAGUAUAAUUGACGCGUUAAAAAUGUGUAGAGAAAUUCUCACAUUCUGCUGUUGCGUGCUUUUACUCGCCGUUGUAUCUUUAGCAUCUCAAUCGAAUUUCACGAGUAACGAUAAGAAAGACCAGAAUUCGAAUAUUUUACAAUACAAGUUUCGCCAAAAGAAACUGUGACAAAAAAGCGGAAUUAUUGCGGAAGGAUAUAUACAUAAAAAUGCUAUCAAGUAUAAUUACAGUGUGCAAUAUGAGUUGAUGAAAUCCACGAAAAACGAUCGCAAUGAUGAUGUCUCGAUAUAUACAUAUAUCUGAAAAACUGAAAAAUAAUUUAAAAUAAUUAUGAUCCCUUGCAGAAAUUUAUUACUAGUAAUGCCAAUUUUCUUCACUUAUUUCGAGUGUACUUAAAAUAUUGAUAUACAGUAGUUUAAGUACUCGAAAUAAGUGAUUAAGUACUUGAAAUUAGUGAUAAAUUGGCAUUACUAGUGAUACAUUGCUAUAAAGGAUUUUUCGAAAAAAUAUUUAUUUCUAUGAAACAUCAGUUACUUAGAAUGCAUUCGUUUAUAGUUCAUAAUUUUUAUAAUUAUAGUUUUGUUAGAAUAUGUAAAGAAGUGUGUUUAUUUGCAGGUUGACUCUAUAUUUGAAACUAUAUAUUACAUUGUUUAUUAUAAUAGCUAUACAUUGGAUUUUAUCAACAACAUUUGAAUUUUUGUGGGAAUCGUCGAAUGAGUGUAUUAUAUUGAGACACUUGUGGUUUAUUCUUCCUUUGAUAGAAGCUAUGCAAAAUAUCAGUACUUUCAUCAUAUUUGUGUGUAGAAAACCAAUCAUACGACUGAUAUUAAAGCGAUUCUGCUAAAACCGCGAAUCUGCUUUAAACCUCAACACGCAGCAGUUGUCAGAGUAAACAACUUUACCAUUAUGCGAAAAAUAAUUUUUCUAAGGAAAAAUAUCAAAUACACGAAAGCGAACCGUCGUGCAAAGAAUUCGUCUAUUAAGAUCAUUCUUAUGUAUCUUAUCAUUUUUCAAUUAUUUAAUUUUUUAAAAAUACUUAUAUCUAAUAUUGAUGUAUGUAACUUAAUUUAUAUGUACAUUAUUUAUGUACGUAAUAUAUAUCUUAUAUAUCUCAUCAUGUACAUAUAUUUUCUCUUAAUCUGAUUAUUUUCUCAUAAUCGGUGAACAUUUAAAUAAGAUGUAGAUUAUCUCGCAUAUCUGAAACAAAUGUUAUCUGUAAAUGUAUCUGUAAAUGUUAAUUAAACAACAAGGGCAUUAACGUUGAAGAUCA